GAACACAGCCCCUGCCAUUCCCAGUCACCGGCUCGGAGGCCGUGGGCGCCUUGGCGAGGGCGCGGCGGCGGGAAUGCAGAACAUAUCCUCAUCACCUGCGUCCACCACUGUCACUCCUGACCGCGAGACGCGAAAGGUCGGAUCCGCAGCUGCUUGCCCGGUUCUACUAUGCCGACGAGGAGCUGAACCAGGUGGCCGCGGAGCUGGACAGCCUGGAUGGGCGGAAGGACCCCCAGCGGUGCACGCUGCUGGUCAGCCAGUUCCGCUCCUGUCAGGACAAUGUGUUGAACAUCAUUAACCAGAUCAUGGAUGAGUGCAUCCCCCAGGACCGCGCCCCCAGAGAUUUCUGCGUCAAGUUCCCUGAGGAGAUCCGGCACGACAACCUGGCCGGCCAGCUGUGGUUCGGUGCCGAGGUAGCGGGUGGCCACCUGGGUUCAGAGGUCCUGAUGUGGGGUGGUAUCUAGACAUGUCCCUGCGAACCUCGUGCAUGGGUGCCUGCAGGUGCCGGGACCUGGUGUCUCCUCCAAGAGCUCCGUCCACUCUGGGUUACGUGGUGUGGUCUGAGCCUGGUAGGC
rnacentral:sRNA from 1 species